ensembl:Y_RNA Y_RNA Y RNA
GGCUGGUCCGAGGGCAGUGGUCUUUGCAGUUGAUCACAGCCAGUUACAGAUUUCUUUAUUCCUUCUCUACUCCCACUGCUGCACUUGAGUAGCCCAAG